rnacentral:rRNA from 1 species
CCUACGGGUGGCAGCAGUCGAGAAUCAUUCACAAUGGGGGAAACCCUGAUGGUGCGACGCCGCGUGGGGGAAUGAAGGUCUUCGAAUUGUAAACCCCUGUCAUGUGGGAGCAAAUAAAAAAGAUAGUACCACAAGAGGAAGAGACGGCUAACUCUGUGCCAGCAGCCGCGGUAAUACAGAGGUCUCAAGCGUUGUUCGUAAUCACUGGGCGUAAAGCGUGCGGCGGCGGUUUCGUAAGUCGUGUGUGAAGGGGGCGGGCUCAACCCGCGGACGGCACAUGAUAUUGCGAGACUAGAGCAAUGGAGGGGGAACCGGAAUUCUCGGUGUAGCAGUGAAAUGCGUAGAUAUCGAGAGGAACACUCGUGGCGAAGGCGGGUUCCUGGACAUUAACUGACGCUGAGGCACGAAGGCCAGGGGAGCGAAAGGGAUUAGAUACCCCGGUAGUC